rnacentral:rRNA from 1 species
UACGGAGGGUGCAAGCGUUAAUCGGAAUUACUGGGCGUAAAGCGUACGUAGGCGGCUUGUUAAGCAAGAUGUGAAAUCCCCGGGCUCAACCUGGGAAGGGCAUUUUGAACUGGCAGGCUCGAGUUCUGAAGAGGGUGGUAGAAUUUCCAGUGUAGCGGUGAAAUGCGUAGAUAUUGGAAGGAAUACCGGUGGCGAAGGCGGCCACCUGGUCAGAAACUGACGCUGAGGUACGAAAGCGUGGGGAGCAAACAGG